CACGGGCUCAAGGCAACAUCUUAGUGCUAAAGUUAAUCCCUCAAAUCAGAUGGGAGCAAACCACUCUGUUGUCUAAAUUCUAAAAUGGAAAAUAUCAUGCCGAAAUAACAAGCCAUAUUCACCUGAUCUGACACUAUUGCCCAAUGAUGGUACAUAUUGAAGUCUGACACAAUACCUACAAAGACCUCCUGAAUUUAAAAAAUAAAAAAAUCCAUGAAACAAUUUGCAGGCAAUUGAUGCAAUUAUCAGGAGUGCUUUUACCAAAAAGAGUAAUCUUAAUAAUCUGGUCAAUCAAUUAUCUGUCUAAGCAUACCUGUGUAAUAAACAAAGGAUGCAUAAAAGUUUGAAAUCAUGCCCUGCCAGGGUGGAAAUAAGAAGGGAAAACAACCAAAUGAAGUUACCUUGCAAUCAAUAGUCUUCCUCUGAUAUAGGUUGCAACUCCACCAAGAGCUCCAGAAACAUGGCUCCGUGGUGGAAGGGUUUACGGGUUAGUGCACCACAUACCAGUUUGAAAGCUUCACAAAAUAUAACCUCCUUGGACAACAUUAGGUGAGCAGUUAAAAUUGUACUCAGUAUCAACUGCCAGUUCUUUGAAAAUGAAUGCUUUCAUUCCAUCUAUUUCAAUGCAAAUAUUUGAGGCUGCAAAAAGCAUAACCAUUAGAUCUAUUCUUUUGAUAAUUAUCGCAAAUGAUGCUGUCAGUGUCGGGAUAAUGUUCACAAUGUGGCACAACAGUACUUACUAUUGUAUGUUACAGGUGUGUGUAGUUUUCAAGUGAAAAGCUCAAAUGUAUUAUGGAGUUUCUGCUUGAUUGUUAAAUACAGCCCAAUGAAGUGGAUAGUAUCUCAUCCCAUCAUGCUUAGGAGCAAAGCAACCCUCUACUCCAACAGCUUAUUCAUAUCUGAGACCAAAUGCAACUGUUUCCAGGAACUACCAAAAGUCCUUGCAAGAACAGGAACCAUCUUUAAAAUGGUGAAAUCUAUUGGCAUCUCUUAAAAUGAUCUCCCUACCGGUGACUUUUGCGAUCAGUUUGAUCGCAGAAUGACAAUCACCGCAAACUCGCAAAUUUUUCAUGACUCUAAUUGGCAUCCCUUCGGGCACUUUUAGAAGUCCAUAUGCUACAGCUAGUCUUUCACUAUGAUAACCUAAGCUAUGUGUCUUCUCUUCCUCAUCCACGUCAUGAAGCACAAAGCUACCAUCGGGACAGUAACCAGCUUCCCUUAAAAACCCACUUAGCUUUUCCAACAUUUGUGUGAUCAUAUGCUGCUCAGGGUGGCUCUUGCUGUCUCCCCCGGUGAACAUAUGCACCUUCUUCUCCACCUCAAUCCAACUACAGCCAGGAAAUUUGAUGACUCUCCUAUUUAUCUUUUUCCUAAGUACUUCAACAUCCCUCCAUCUUCCUUUGGUUGCAUACAUAUGUGAGAGCAAGACAUAAGGCCCAGCAUUUUUUGGCUCUAGCUUUGCAAGUUUCUCUACUGCAACUUCAGCCAAAUCCAGCUUCAUAUGGUUUCUGCAAGCACCUAACAAUGCACCCCAAACAAUAGCAUCCGGUUCCAUUGGCAUCUUUUCUACUAGUUCCAUUGCCUCAUCAACCCGGCCUGCUCGACCUAGCAAAUCAACCAUACAAGCAUAGUGUUCAAUUCCUGGUUCCACUUGAUAAGUGCAUUUCAUUGCUUCAAAAAUUUCGAACCCUUCUUUCACUUUGCCACUGUAGCUACAAGCUGAAAGAACUCCAAUGAAGGUAACCUCGUCUGGCUGAACUCCAGACGAGCACAUAUCAUGGAAAACAUUUAAAGCUUCCUCUCCCAACCCAUGUUGGGAAUAACCAGUGAUCAUAGAAUUCCACAUAACAACAUCCUUAAACAGAAAUCUAUUAAAAAUCCCUUUUGCUCUAACAAGAUCACCACACUUAACAUACAUCGUAAUCAACACCGAGGCAACAUAUAAAUCUUGAUCAAAUUCAGAUCUCACCAACCUAGCAUGAACCUGCCUGCCAUGAUCAAGGCUAGCUAAACUGGCACACACAGAAAGAACACUGAUCAUCGAAGGGAAAUUCAACGCAACCCCUUCCCUUUGCAUCCUAGCAAACAAACCCAAAGCUUCCAAGUCCAACCCUUUCCUCUCAAACACCUUAAUCAUAGCAUUCCAAGUUCCCUCAUCCCUUUCCUUCAUUCCCUCAAACAUCAUCCUAGCUCUAUGCAUCUCCCCAGCAAGUCCAAACUGUAAGAUCAUCUCAUUACAAGCAACAAUCCACUUCACCGGCAUCGCUUCAAAAAGCUCAAAAGCCUCCUUCAUCCUCCCACUCUGAGUAUACCCCAUAAGCAUAGCCGUCCAAGACACCUCAUUUCUCUCCGGCAUCACCUCAAAAAGCUUCCUUGCAACAUCAACCCUCCCAUUCUUUGCAUACCCAGAAACCAUAGUAGUCCAAGUAAACACAUUCCUCACCUUCAUUUCAUCAAACAGUUCGCGAGCUUCAUCCAAACGACCCACCUGACAAUACCCACCAAUCAUAUUAGUAACCACCACAACAUCCUUCUCCGGUAUCAUAUCAAACAGUUUCUUCGCAUCAUCAAUACGCGAUUCCUUCAACAACCCACCAAUCAUAACAGUCCACGACACCACAUUCCUACGUGGCAUCUCCCAAAACAGCUUCUCAGCUUCCUCCACCAUACCCUCUUGAACAUAGCCCCUAACCAUCGAAGUCCACGACACCACAUUUCGUUCAGGCAUUACAUCAAACACCUUCCUAGCAUCAGCAACCAUUCCAUUUUUCACAUAACCAGAUAUCAUCCCAUUAAAGGAUACAGUAUUUCUUUGCGGCAUUUGAUCAAACAGAAGAAGGGCAUCACGAGGUUUGUGGGAUUCAAAGUAGGCAGAGACCAUGGCGUUCCAGGAAGCGAUGGUUCUUUGUGGCAAUGGCGUAUUGUCGAACACCUUACGUGCAUUGUGUAUAUCACCGAUGCGACCGUAACGUGAAAUUGCGGAAGUGUUGCUGCAGAGUGAUCUUGCUUGCACCAUGCGACAACGUAGAGUUGCGGCGUAACCAUAACCCAUGUGUGUGUAAUGUUAACCUAUGAGCGCAAAACAUGCACUAGUAUAAUAAACUAGUGUCGCAAUACCAUAGAAUAUAUAUGCUAUGCUUGGUUGAAAAUAUUAAAUUCUAUGCACGGUAAUAAAAAAAGUAUUCCUU
rnacentral:lncRNA from 1 species